UAACGACUCUCGGCAACGGAUAUCUCGGCUCUCGCAUCGAUGAAGAACGUAGCGAAAUGCGAUACUUGGUGUGAAUUGCAGAAUCCCGUGAACCAUCGAGUCUUUGAACGCAAGUUGCGCCCUAAGCCGUUAGGCCGAGGGCACGUCUGCCUGGGUGUCACG
rnacentral:rRNA from 1 species